UUUACAUCAAAAAGGAACUUGAAAGGCUACAGACAAAGAGACAUAAUAAGAAACAAAUACCACUGAUGUGUGUUGUAUUUUAAAUUUAAUUUCAUAUGUGUUUAUAAUAUUAAGCUUUGAUUCAAUGUUUGCGCGAAACUUCCACAUCAAACCCGUGAAAGCAUGUGGCAGUAAGUAGAGUAUCUGUGCUUUCACCUGUGUUUCCCAAAUGUUAUGUUUAUUGUUUGGUUAAAACCUUCUAUAAUAGGGUUUACCUUACGGCCUAAUAGUGUGCAGUGACUGUAUGUAUCUACCCAUUAACAAACUAAUGAGCCUGGACUGUCACCUGGUUGAUUGUAGAUGUCGUGCAGGACGCUUGUGAUUGGAUAACGAGGCGCAGCCGUGCCCUUUAAAAGCGGAAGGAAGUGGUAGUCUUUUCCGGAGCCGUGAAGGUUGUAAGAUGGCGCUGUAUCAAGGCACGGUGAAAAGGCUGAACAUCUCUUUGGAUAAGUUUCAUGAACCCCAGGAAAAGGAAAAGUGUCAGUCCAAGGGAACAGCACAGUGGAUGAGAGGCGAAACAUCUUCAACUUACUUGAGAGUGAAGUAGCCCAGGACAGUGUUACCCGAGUGUCCACCGCAGGAGCCACUUCACAGACAUUGUUGAAGCUGCUUGUCGACAGAUGUGCUGGAACCCAUGGCUUCACCUCUGCUAAUCCUCCAUUCCUCAGAUA